rnacentral:rRNA from 1 species
UUUUUUUAUGGAGAGUUUGAUCCUGGCUCAGGACGAACGCUGGCGGCGUGCUUAACACAUGCAAGUCGAACGGAAAGGCCUAGCUUGCUAGGUACUCGAGUGGCGAACGGGUGAGUAACACGUGGGUGAUCUGCCUCGUACUUCGGGAUAAGCCUGGGAAACUGGGUCUAAUACUGGAUAGGACCAUGCUUUAGUGUGUGUGGUGGAAAGUUUUUUCGGUACGAGAUGAGCCCGCGGCCUAUCAGCUUGUUGGUGGGGUAAUGGCCUACCAAGGCGUCGACGGGUAGCCGGCCUGAGAGGGUGGACGGCCACAUUGGGACUGAGAUACGGCCCAGACUCCUACGGGAGGCAGCAGUGGGGAAUAUUGCACAAUGGGCGCAAGCCUGAUGCAGCGACGCCGCGUGGGGGAUGACGGCCUUCGGGUUGUAAACCUCUUUCGCUAGGGACGAAGCUUUUUGUGACGGUACCUAGAUAAGAAGCACCGGCUAACUACGUGCCAGCAGCCGCGGUAAUACGUAGGGUGCGAGCGUUGUCCGGAAUUAUUGGGCGUAAAGAGCUCGUAGGUGGUUUGUCGCGUCGUCUGUGAAAUUCCGGGGCUUAACUUCGGGCGUGCAGGCGAUACGGGCAUAACUUGAGUGCUGUAGGGGAGACUGGAAUUCCUGGUGUAGCGGUGGAAUGCGCAGAUAUCAGGAGGAACACCGAUGGCGAAGGCAGGUCUCUGGGCAGUAACUGACGCUGAGGAGCGAAAGCAUGGGGAGCGAACAGGAUUAGAUACCCUGGUAGUCCAUGCCGUAAACGGUGGGCGCUAGGUGUGAGGGUCUUCCACGACUUUCGUGCCGUAGCUAACGCAUUAAGCGCCCCGCCUGGGGAGUACGGCCGCAAGGCUAAAACUCAAAGGAAUUGACGGGGGCCCGCACAAGCGGCGGAGCAUGUGGAUUAAUUCGAUGCAACGCGAAGAACCUUACCUGGGCUUGACAUAUGCAGGAUCGGCGUAGUGAUACGUUUUCCCUUGUGGUCUGUAUACAGGUGGUGCAUGGUUGUCGUCAGCUCGUGUCGUGAGAUGUUGGGUUAAGUCCCGCAACGAGCGCAACCCUUGUCUUAUGUUGCCAGCACGUGAUGGUGGGGACUCAUGAGAGACUGCCGGGGUUAACUCGGAGGAAGGUGGGGAUGACGUCAAAUCAUCAUGCCCCUUAUGUCCAGGGCUUCACACAUGCUACAAUGGUCGGUACAACGCGCUGCGAGCCUGUGAGGGUGAGCGAAUCGCUGAAAGCCGGCCUCAGUUCGGAUUGGGGUCUGCAACUCGACCCCAUGAAGUCGGAGUCGCUAGUAAUCGCAGAUCAGCAACGCUGCGGUGAAUACGUUCCCGGGCCUUGUACACACCGCCCGUCACGUCAUGAAAGUUGGUAACACCCGAAGCCAGUGGCCUAACCCUUGUGGGGGGAGCUGUCGAAGGUGGGAUCGGCGAUUGGGACGAAGUCGUAACAAGGUAGCCGUACCGGAAGGUGCGGCUGGAUCACCUCCUUUCUAAGGAG